UGCUACAUAGAUAUAGGAAGAUGUGGUGUGAGUGCCAAUGAGACAACUCUCCAUACAAAUAAAAUUUAAAAAAAGUAAACCAUUAUAGGUUAAAGUACGGCUUCAACACGGAGCCUUGGCUCACACCGAACAACAAGCUAUAAAGGGCCCCAAAAUUACUAGUGUAAAACCAUUCAAACGGGAAAACCAACGGUCUAAUCUAUAUAAACAAAACGAGAAACGAAAAACACGUAUAUAUUACAUAAACAAACGACAACUACUGUACAUCAGAUUCCUGACUUAGGACAGGUGCAAACAUUUGCAGCGGG
rnacentral:lncRNA from 1 species